rnacentral:rRNA from 1 species
CCUACGGGAGGCUGCAGUGAGGAAUAUUGGUCAAUGGACGAGAGUCUGAACCAGCCAAGUAGCGUGAAGGAUGACUGCCCUAUGGGUUGUAAACUUCUUUUAUAUGGGAAUAAAACGUUCCACGUGUGGGGUUUUGUAUGUACCAUAUGAAUAAGGAUCGGCUAACUCCGUGCCAGCAGCCGCGGUAAUACGGAGGAUCCGAGCGUUAUCCGGAUUUAUUGGGUUUAAAGGGAGCGUAGGUGGAUUGUUAAGUCAGUUGUGAAAGUUUGCGGCUCAACCGUAAAAUUGCAGUUGAAACUGGCAGUCUUGAGUACAGUAGAGGUAGGCGGAAUGCGUGGUGUAGCGGUGAAAUGCUUAGAUAUCACGCAGAACUCCGAUUGCGAAGGCAGUUCACUGGACUGCAACUGACACUGAGGCUCGAAAGUGUGGGUAUCAAACAGGAUUAGAUACCCCGGUAGUC